UACGAAGGGGGCUAGCGUUGCUCGGAAUCACUGGGCGUAAAGCGCACGUAGGCGGAUAUUUAAGUCGGUGGUGAAAUCCUGGAGCUCAACUCCAGAACUGCCUCCGAUACUGAAUGUCUCCGAGUCCGGGAGAGGUGAGUGGAACUGCGAGUGUAGAGGUGAAAUUCGUAGAUAUUCGCAAGAACACCAGUGGCGAAGGCGGCUCACUGGCCCGGUACUGACGCUGAGGUGCGAAAGCGUGGGGAGCAAACAGG
rnacentral:rRNA from 1 species